UGGGGGCCCGACUUAGAACUCUCGGGUCGGGUUUUUACUAAUGUUGGGUUGAUGUAGUAAAUGGUGUUAUUAGCAUUGAUUGAUCUGAAAGAAUUACAAUUUUGAGAUCAAAAAAAUGGAGGAGCAGAAGAAGAACAAGUACAGUAUAAUUAUACCCACCUACAACGAACGCCUAAACAUUGCUCUCGUCAUUUACCUCGUCUUUAAACAUCUCUCGGAUGUUGAUUUCGAAAUAAUAGUAGUGGAUGAUGGAAGUCCAGAUGGCACACAGGAUAUUGUCAAACAAUUGCAGAAAGUAUAUGGAGAAGAUCAUAUUUUAUUGAGACCUCGACCUAGGAAACUUGGUUUAGGUACUGCAUAUAUUCAUGGUUUGAAGCAUGCCUCAGGCAAUUUUGUUGUCAUUAUGGAUGCGGAUCUUUCUCACCAUCCGAAAUACCUGCCAAGAUUUAUCAAGAAACAAAUGGAGACUGGUGCCAAUAUAGUUACUGGAACUCGAUAUGUUACUGGUGGUGGUGUCCACGGAUGGAACCUUAUGCGCAAAUUGACAAGUAGGGGAGCAAAUGUCCUUGCACAGACACUACUUUGGCCGGGUGUAUCAGACUUAACUGGAUCCUUCCGGCUGUACCAGAAAUCUGCACUAGAAGACAUCAUAAGCUGUUGUGUUAGUAAAGGAUAUGUUUUUCAGAUGGAGAUGAUUGUUCGGGCUUCAAGAAAAGGUUACCGCAUUGAAGAGGUGUCUGAACUGAGAUUGUUGGGAUUUAGAUCUGUAUCUGUAGUUGAUCUAAGUGACAUAGAAGUUGAAGUUUGAUCUGCUACCAAGUUGGCUGAUAUUGGUGCCUUUUUAUUUCAUCGUGUGAUGGACUGAGGAGCAAGGGAGAAAGGAUUACCGGCCAUGUACUCCAUAGUUUGGUUGCAGAAUGCUAGUAGCUAAUUAACUCUGAUCUCUGUUGGUAUAUUCGUUAGGGUCACUAUGAUUUGUUUAGACGAGUUAGUUGAGACGUGGAAAAUAUUGGAGACUCUACUAUGUCCUUCUCGGGUGUUAUAACCUUUCCACAUAGAGUGCUACUGAGGAACUGUCUGUUCUUCCAACUCACACAAAGUUAUUGUGAUGGGAAACAACAGAACUAUAGACUGUUUUGCUGGGGCUUCAGGGAGCUGUCAAGAAGGCUGUUGAGCUUGGUGGUUGGCAUGGGCUGGUUUGAAAAUAUGGGUUGAAGUCAAGCUACAAAGAAAUGCAUUGAAUGUGCUAGAACCUCCCGGGGAGGGGGGGGGGGGGGGGGGUGAUGAUUAUGACUUUGGUGACUCGAGCAGUGGUGCAGCUCCUGGUGAAAGUGAAAACCAUCACUUUGCCACUGGUGUUGCAUACAGAAAAGUGAACAACCUACAGUUCAUUUACGACACCAUGGCGUUAUCUGGACCAGCAAAGAUAAUGAGCCGUGGCAGCGAAGUUGAACCUAACUAUUUUGCAGCCGAGGAGAACUUGGCAAAACUGAACUGGUUCAUUAUGGAGGUACUAGCGAAACUUCAACCAACACAUAAAUAAAGAUCAGCUGCUUAGCCCUGUGCAGUUGUACUUCUCGGUGCAGCGAGUUGACGAGGCACAUGUGGUAGUGGAAUUUAUCCGCUACCGAGAGAUUAAGAUCAGAUCACAGUCACACACACACAUUGAGAUUUUAUGACAGGCAAAGUUGAAGGUUCCAAUUACUUUUGUCGAUAGAGUAUUUGGAAGUUCCAAGCUGGGAGGAUCUGAAAUAGUGGAGUACCUGAAGGGCCUUCUGUAUCUU